UUCUUGCCAAUGAUGGUGAACAAUAAAUGUCUGAACAUAUGAAAUCAGAGUGAUUCCUUUUCAAGUCUCUGAGGCAAGUU
rnacentral:snoRNA from 1 species